rnacentral:lncRNA from 1 species
GUGACCAGAGCAUCCCCCAUCUAUGAACUUGUGACCAAUAACCAGACCCAGAGGCUCUUACAGGAGGCCACCAUGAGCUCUCUCUGGUGUUCAGGGACUGGAGAUGUCAUUGAGGACUGGUGUCGAUGUGAUUCUACUGCUUUUGGAGCGGAUGGACUCCCUACCUGUGCGCCCCUCCCACAGCCUGUGUAUGGUUCCCUUCCCAUGUCGCUCUCCUGCAUGUAUGCCUUCAGCACCAUUACUCAAAAACAGGAUGGAGUGGAUAUUAGUCUCAAAGUGAUAGGCUGAAUGCUGGGAAUUGGAAAGAAGAAAGUUGCAUCGUUCCUGCCAUCGGGAACUUUCAGUAUGAUAGAAGGAGCAGGCACAUGAGCUGUUUAAUGGAAGUAGUGUGACAAAUCUUUGCAUUUUUUAAAAUGUAAAGAGCUGGGUUUUGACCCUGCACUUAGGCAAUAAAGACGUUAUGGAGCAAAU